rnacentral:misc_RNA from 1 species
CAAAGCCCCUUCUUAUCCUCUCUUCACAACACACACACAAUACACAAUUCAUCUCAAAGGGCAAAAAAUAUCUCUUUGUUUUUUUCUCUCUCAACCCUAGAAGUUUUUUUUUAAUCAUGAAAGGAGGUAAAUCCAAGGGGAAAGCAGAUAACAAGCUGGGAGUGAAGAAGAGUGCUGCCCAGACUAAAAAAGAGAAGAAUGCUGCCAAGGAUCCAAACAAGCCUAAGAGG